rnacentral:rRNA from 1 species
UACGAAGGGGGCUAGCGUUGCUCGGAAUCACUGGGCGUAAAGCGCACGUAGGCGGCUUUUUAAGUCAGAGGUGAAAUCCUGGAGCUCAACUCCAGAACUGCCUUUGAUACUGGUCGUCUAGAGAUCGGAAGAGGUGAGUGGAAUUCCCAGUGUAGAGGUGAAAUUCGUAGAUAUUGGGAAGAACACCAGUGGCGAAGGCGGCUCACUGGCCCGAUACUGACGCUGAGGCACGAAAGCGUGGGGAGCAAACAGGG